CACGUAGUUAGCCGUGGCUUAUUCUUACGGUACCGUCACUUUCUUCGUCCCGUACAAAAGAAGUUUACAAUCCGAAAACCUUCAUCCUUCACGCGGCAUUGCUGCAUCAGGGUUCCCCCCAUUGUGCAAUAUUCCCCACUGCUGCCUCCCGUAGGAGUCUGGGCCGUGUCCCAGUCCCAAUGUGGCCGUUCAACCUCUCAGUCCGGCUACCAAUCGUCGCCUUGGUGGGCCGUUACCUCACCAACUAGCUAAUUGGACGCGAGGCCAUCUCAGAGCAAUAAAUCUUUGAUAUAAAAGGGAUGCCCCUCUCAUAUGUUAUGCGGUAUUAGCACACCUUUCGGUGUGUUACUCCCCCUCUCUGAGGCAGGUUCCUCACGCGUUACUCACCCGUCCGCCACUAACGCCUCCUCUUCCGUGACCGAGUCUCCUCAGGCGCUCCGUCGACUUGCAUGUGUUAGCAUCGCCGCCAGCGUUUAUCCUGAGCCAGGAUCAAACUCU
rnacentral:rRNA from 1 species